rnacentral:rRNA from 1 species
AUUGAACGCUGGCGGCAUGCCUUACACAUGCAAGUCGAACGGCAGCACGGGUGCUUGCACCUGGUGGCGAGUGGCGAACGGGUGAGUAAUACAUCGGAACGUACCUUAUCGUGGGGGAUAACGCAGCGAAAGCUGUGCUAAUACCGCAUACGCCCUGAGGGGGAAAGCGGGGGAUCGCAAGACCUCGCGCGAUUAGAGCGGCCGAUGCCUGAUUAGCUUGUUGGUGGGGUAAAAGCCCACCAAGGCGACGAUCAGUAGCUGGUCUGAGAGGACGAUGAGCCACACUGGGACUGAGACACGGCCCAGACUCCGACGGGAGGCAGCAGUGGGGAAUUUUGGACAAUGGGGGCAACCCUGAUCCAGCAAUGCCGCGUGAGUGAAGAAGGCCUUCGGGUUGUAAAGCUCUUUUGUCAGGGAAGAAACACCGGCUCUAACACAGUCCGGGAAUGACGGUACCUGAAGAAUAAGCACCGGCUAACUACGUGCCAGCCGCCGCCGUAA